UACAGAGGUCCCAAGCGUUGUCCGGAUUCACUGGGCGUAAAGGGUGCGUAGGCGGUCGGGUAAGUCUGAUGUGAAAUCUCACAGCUUAACUGUGAAACUGCAUUGGAUACUAUCCGGCUCGAGGAAUGGAGGGGAGACUGGAAUACUUGGUGUAGCAGUGAAAUGCGUAGAUAUCAAGUGGAACACCAGUGGCGAAGGCGAGUCUCUGGACAUUUCCUGACGCUGAGGCACGAAGGCCAGGGGAGCAAACGGG
rnacentral:rRNA from 1 species